AUUGAACGCUGGCGGCAUGCCUUACACAUGCAAGUCGAACGGUAACAGGUCUUCGGAUGUUGACGAGUGGCGCACGGGUGAGUAAUACAUCGGAACGUGCCCGAUCGUGGGGGAUAACGGAGCGAAAGCUUUGCUAAUACCGCAUACGAUCUACGGAUGAAAGCAGGGGACCGCAAGGCCUUGCGCGGACGGAGCGGCCGAUGGCAGAUUAGGUAGUUGGUGGGAUAAAAGCUUACCAAGCCGACGAUCUGUAGCUGGUCUGAGAGGACGACCAGCCACACUGGGACUGAGACACGGCCCAGACUCCUACGGGAGGCAGCAGUGGGGAAUUUUGGACAAUGGGCGAAAGCCUGAUCCAGCCAUGCCGCGUGCAGGAUGAAGGCCUUCGGGUUGUAAACUGCUUUUGUACGGAACGAAAAGACUCUUUCUAAUAAAGAGGGUCCAUGACGGUACCGUAAGAAUAAGCACCGGCUAACUACGUG
rnacentral:rRNA from 1 species